AUCCUGGCUCAGAUUGAACGCUGGCGGCAGGCCUAACACAUGCAAGUCGAGCGGUAGAGAGGUGCUUGCAUCUCUUGAGAGCGGCGGACGGGUGAGUAAUGCCUAGGAAUCUGCCUAGUGGUGGGGGAUAACGUUCGGAAACGGACGCUAAUACCGCAUACGUCCUACGGGAGAAAGCGGGGGGAUCUUCGGACCUCGCGCCAUUAGAUGAGCCUAGGUCGGAUUAGCUAGUUGGUGAGGUAAUGGCUCACCAAGGCGACGAUCCGUAACUGGUCUGAGAGGAUGAUCUGUCACACUGGAACUGAGACACGGUCCAGACUCCUACGGGAGGCAGCAGUGGGGAAUAUUGGACAAUGGGCGAAAGCCUGAUCCAGCCAUGCCGCGUGUGUGAAGAAGGUCUUCGGAUUGUAAAGCACUUUAAGUUGGGAGGAAGGGUAGUAACCUAAUACGUUGCUACUUUGACGUUACCGACAGAAUAAGCACCGGCUAACUUCGUG
rnacentral:rRNA from 1 species